ACAAAAAGUAAGUAAGGGCACAUGGCGGAUGCCUUGGCUCUCGGAGGCGAUGAAGGACGUGAUAAGCUGCGAUAAGCUGCGGGUAGGUGCAAAUGACCUUUGAUCCGCGGAUUUCCGAAUGGGACAACCUGGUACUUUGAAGAAGUAUCAUCCUGCAUUGCAGGAGGCUAACGCAGGGAACUGAAACAUCUUAGUACCUGCAGGAAAAGAAAAUAAACAAUGAUUCCCCCAGUAGUGGCGAGCGAACGGGGAAUAGCCCAAACCAUCCAUGUUACGGCAUGGGUGGGGUUGUAGGACCACGCCGUGGCAAGAAAGUUGGUGAGCAGAAUGUUCUGGAAAGUACAGCCAUAGAGCAUGAGAGCUGCGUAUGCGAAGCCAACCGAAGCCUAGUGGUAUCCUGAGUAGCGCGGAGCACGAGGAAUUCUGCGUGAAUCUGCCGGGACCAUCCGGUAAGGCUAAAUACUCCCGAGAGACCGAUAGUGAACCAGUACUGUGAAGGAAAGGUGAAAAGCACUUCGAACAGAAGAGUGAAAUAGUUCCUGAAACCAUGUGCCUACAAGCGGUCGGAGCACCUUCUGGUGUGACGGCGUGCCUUUUGCAUAAUGAACCUACGAGUUACUUUUUCCGGCGAGGUUAAGGAUUUCAGAUCUGCAGCCGAAGCGAAAGCGAGUCUGAACAGGGCGUAUAGUCGGAAGGAGUAGACGCGAAACCAAGUGAUCUACCCUUGGGCAGGUUGAAGGAUGGGUAACACCAUCUGGAGGACCGAACCAAUAAGCGUUGAAAAGCUUCUGGAUGACCUGAGGGUGGGGGUGAAAGGCUAAUCAAACUUGGAGAUAGCUCGUACUCCCCGAAAUGCAUUUAGGUGCAGCCUUGACUUAUACUGGCAUGAGGUAGAGCGACUGAUAAGAUGCGAGGGCUUCACCGCCUAUCAAGUCUUGACAAACUCCGAAUGCGUGUCAGUUCUAUGUCAGGAGUGAGGGCAUGGGUGCUAAGGUCCAUGUCCUAAAGGAGAACAAUCCGGACCAACAGCUAAGGUCCCGAAAUGAAUACUAAGUUGAACUAACGAAGUCAGAUUGCUAAGACAGCUAGGAUGUUGGCUUGGAAGCAGCCAUUCAUUUAAAGAGUGCGUAACAGCUCACUAGUCGAGGAGUUUGGCGUGGAUAAUAAUCGGGCAUAAGUAUUCUACCGAAGCUUUGGGAUGAGAAAUCAUCGGUAGGGGAGCAUUCCACUCUGCGUCGAAGGUGAAGCGCGAGCUUUGCUGGAGCGUGUGGAAAAGCAAAUGUAGGUAUAAGUAACGAUAAAGGGGGUGGGAAACCCCCUCGCCGAAAGACUAAGGUUUCCUGAUCAACGCUAAUCGGAUCAGGGUAAGUCGGGUCCUAAGGCUCAGCCGAACGGCGAGGCCGAUGGCAGAACCGGUUAAUAUUCCGGUACUACCUGUGGGAGUGACGUGGAGACGGAGUCGUGACAGCGCCGCGGACUGACGGAAUAGUCCGUUGAAGGGUGUAGAUGCUGAUUGUUCCAGGCAAAUCCGGAGCAAGAGUCGAACCUGACAGUAUGGAGCGUUCUUAGAACAAUCCAAUAGUGCGUGUAAUCAUACUUCCAAGAAAAUCCGCUAAACUUAAUCCUGCAGGUACCCGUACCGCAAACGGACACACGUAGUCGGGUUGAAUAUACUAAGGCGCUUGAGUGAUUCACGGUUAAGGAACUAGGCAAACUGACCCUGUAACUUCGGGAUAAAGGGUCCUCGCUUUACGGCGAGGCGCAGAGAAUAGGUCCAGGCAACUGUUUAACAAAAACANNNNNNNNNNAAGCAAUUGAGGCGCAGAGAAUAGGUCCAGGCAACUGUUUAACAAAAACACAGGGCUGUGCAAAAUUGAAAGAUGAAGUAUACAGCCUGACACCUGCCCGGUGCUGGAAGGUUAAGAGGAGAUGUCAUCGCAAGAGAAGCAUUGAAUUGAAGCCCCAGUAAACGGCGGCCGUAACUAUAACGGUCCUAAGGUAGCGAAAUUCCUUGUCGGGUAAGUUCCGACCUGCACGAAUGGUGUAAUGAUCUGGACGCUGUCUCAACCGUGAGCUCAGUGAAAUUGUAGUAUCGGUGAAGAUGCCGAUUACCCGCGAUGGGACGAAAAGACCCCGUGAACCUUUACUAUAGCUUAACAUUGAAUUUGGGUAAUUGAUGUGUAGGAUAGGCCGGAGGCUUUGAAGCGGGCACGCCAGUGUCCGUGGAGCCGCUGUUGAAAUACGGCCCUUUGAUUAUUUGAGUUCUAACCCGUUGUUGCGGGGACACUGUUUGGUGGGUAGUUUGACUGGGGUGGUCGCCUCCAAAAGUGUAACGGAGGCUUCUAAAGGUGCCCUCACGACGAUUGGUAACCGUCGGCAGAGUGUAAUGGCAUAAGGGCGCUUGACUGGGAGACUUACAAGUCGAUCAGGUAGGAAACUAGAGCAUAGUGAUCCGGUGUUUCUGUAUGGAAAGGACAUCGCUCAAAGGAUAAAAGGUACUCCGGGGAUAACAGGCUGAUCCCUCCCAAGAGCUCAUAUCGACGGAGGGGUUUGGCACCUCGAUGUCGGCUCGUCACAUCCUGGGGCUGGAGAAGGUCCCAAGGGUUGGGCUGUUCGCCCAUUAAAGUGGCACGCGAGCUGGGUUCAGAACGUCGUGAGACAGUUCGGUCUCUAUCUAUCGUGGGCGCAUGAAAUUUGCGUGGCUCUGACACUAGUACGAGAGGACCGUGUUGGACUGACCUCUGGUUUACCGGUUGUGCCGCCAGGUGCAUUGCCGGGUAUCUAAGUCGGGAUUGGAUAAGUGCUGAAAGCAUCUAAGUACGAAGCCAGCCACAAGAUUAGAUUUCU
rnacentral:rRNA from 1 species